rfam:Schistosoma mattheei strain Denwood, Zambia genome assembly, scaffold: SMTD_scaffold0000035
AUGCAGCUGACGAGUCCCAAAUAGGACGAAACGCGCAUCCUGGAU